rnacentral:rRNA from 1 species
GAUGAACGCUGACAGAAUGCUUAACACAUCAGCAAUUGAUUGGUGGCGGACGGGUGAGUAACGCUUAAAGAACUUGCCUCACAGCUAGGGACAACAUUUGGAAACGAAUGCUAAUACCUAUUCCUGUGAGAGAGCUUUGCGUCCCUUUAGCUAGUUGGAGAGGUAACGUCUCACCAAGGCGAUGAUGGGUCGCCGGCCUGCGAGGGUGAUCGGCCACAACGGGAAUGAGACACAGCCCUUACGACUACGGGAGGCAGCAGUGGGGAAUAUUGGACAAAGGACCAAAGUCUGAGCCAGCAAUUCUGUGGGCACGAUGAAGUUUUCGGAAUGUAAAGUGCUUUCAGUUGGGAAGCGGUACCAACAGAAGAAGUGACGGCUAAAUACGUGCCAGCAGCCGCGGUAAUUC